CAAAACAACUGGGGAUUAACACUGUCCCCUUCCCCUCCCCCAGGGCUCAUCAGAAGUCUAAGUAUAGAGUCAUGAUGAAAGAUUUCAAAGGCAAUAGCCAUGGCUCCAAAAUAGCCUGGUUAAUAUUUGCAGUAUGGUUCAGGGUGGCUCUUUUCUGUCUCCUGCCUGUCAAAAAGUUGCUAUUCCUGUGAUUAAAACCAUUACAGUCCUUCAAGGUUAUACAUGACUUUCAGGCUUCAGCCUCAAUAGAAGCAGCCACCAUGAAGGGCAGCCCAGCCAUGCCUACCUCCCUUGGAGUCAACUGAGUGUGGACUGAAACCUCCAAAAACUGGAUGGAAUUCACGACCUUGCACUUGCCAGGCAGUGUGAUUUCAUGCCUAUUAAUUGGUAGAACACUGGUCAGUUUAAGAAGAUGCCAGAGGUCAAUUCCUGUACUCAACAGGGUACACAAGGGCUGUGUGAUCUUCGCUAACAGCUUUUUCUCCUACUGUUUGCUCUGUUUUCAGUGGGAUUCCAGAUGGUACUAAUUUGAACACAUCAUUCCAUGCUUCCUGGAGUAAUCACACAGCUUGCUUAAAUUUUCUAAACAUGACUGAACUGUGAUGAAGCGAUCAACAUUAACUGCCAAGAGUUUCACUAAGUAGUUCAGGCUGACCUUGAACUCACUGUGUAUCCCUGGCUGUCCUGAACUUCAGUGAUCCUCCUGCCUCAGCCUUCCAAGUACAAAGAUUACAGAUAAAGAAGAACAAGAUCAUCACUCCCUUCUGGAAACUUGGAACACUAUGUAACUCUCAAAAGAACUAAGAAGACCAAGCUUGACAGAAUGAUGAGUAAAUUCUCAUUAUCAAACUUACAGAAAAAUCUGAAUAUUUCAUUAAAUUCACACAUGAUCAGAUCAUCCAGCCAUCUGGGACAAGACCAAUGAAUUAUGUAUUCUGAAGCUUUUUUGCAUAUGUGGGUACAGGUUUAAAUUCAAGCAAGGGUCAUGCAUCUUUUUUUUCAACUGAUUAUAGCCCUGAUAAAUUUUGUACCUUGAGACACUUAACUAUACCUGUAGGCUCAUUUUAAUGCAUCCUGAGACUUUCUAAUUGGCACCACAUACUUUUUUUCUUCCUGUGCCUUAUGAUGGUGUAUUUUCCAAAUAAAAACACCUGGAAAAGCAUCAAGCAAACCACCUUCAAUGGCUUUCAACAAAUGGAGAAUUUCACCAUGAACAGUUUUAAAAGAAGUGUUUGUAUAAAAGUAUGUACAUAUGAAUUUGAAAUUAUUAUUUAUGUGCUACAAAAUCUUCUAUCUUGGGCUUCAGGUAUAUGAAUUCCUCCUAUACUAGCAUAGUAAUUUUCUGUGAUCAAAAAUGACUAUACUUUAUAAUUGAAAAUAGUAUUACUAACAACAAAAUACUAUAAAUAGAAUGAUGGCUUUUGAAUCCAAACAUUAUAAUAAUAAUAAUAAAAACAUAUUAUUUUUGGCCAAAUUUGGGAGUCAGGUUAGGCCUGUACCCUCACAAGUUUUUUCUGGGUGAACACUGCAGUCAAACACUGGAGAGUAUUCUCAGAAAAAAUAGUACAUGAGUUAAAUAUUUUUUUUGUUCACAGGUCAUUAGUAGUUUGUAUCAGUACAACUAUUAAUAAUGGAUUAUUUCAUCUGCAAUCAUUACUUUAAGAAAUUACUUGUGUUAUUUCAUACUGUAAAUUUAGCAGACUGUCCAAUUUUCUACUAUGUCACAGGCAAACUUUGUGACAAGCAAAACUAAGAGCAAAAUCAGGUCUAACCCAGUCAUGCAAACUUCCUUCCAACACUCUUCCCAACAAAAUACUCUGAUUGCUCUGCACACACAUGCUGCAUUGCUUUCUCCACGAUACAUUUUCUCUUGCUGUAUCUUCAAAUUGUUUACUCUUCUGUAUUACUUUUCUGUUAAUAUCAUCAUUUGCAUGAAUAGUGAAGUGCCAUGAAUAGUGAAGCUUAUUGUAAGUGUUCUUCUCCACUUUAUCACAAGUGCUUUAGGAAGCUCUGAUGCCCCUAGAUCCCACUGUCCAAGAAACUUCAAAUUAAAAACAAUAUUCUUUGGCAUGCAUAGUGGAUAUUUCUCAUAUAGUGAAAGACUACCAAAAAAUAUGUGGAAAUUUUAACUAUUUCAUAUUUGACAGUCUAAGUAGGCAUUGGUGUAUCUACCUAUGAAAUUCAAAAUUUGAGGCAAAUAUCACUACAUCGUCUUCCAAUUAGAUAAUUGGAAACCUCUCUUACAAAGUAUUUCUGUUGGUAGCAAGGAGCAACUUUUUUUUUUUUUUUUUUUUUUUUUUGUCUUUUUCGUUUUUAUCGGUACCAGGGAUUGAACUCACAACUGCCUGCUUGCAAGGCAGGCGCUUAUGCCGCUAAAUCCCCAGCCCAAGGAGCAACUUCUAAUUCAUAUUCUACUUGUUCAAUAAACUCUAUUUCUCAUGAAUUACUAUGUGAUUUAUUCUUCAUGCCAUAAAAUUGGCCAACAUAUUAUAUGGUUUCCAUUGAAUUACAUCAUGUGUAUUUAAUACAUAUUUAUGAUAAUAGUGGGGUUAAAUGGAUGUACAACACAGAGAUCUCCAGGUCUUUUGUCAAUCAAACUUGGGUCAGGAACUCUAAACUCAGUUGUUGCAUAGUAAGCAGCAGAUAAGUAUAUACUCUUUAACUCUUCAUGGUACUGCAAGAAGUGUAAAAAGAUAUUUCUCAUCUGAUUUAACAAAGCAUUAUAUUUAGUAGUUAAAUCUGCAUUAAAGCUAUUCGGUAAAACAUCUGAAUUUCAAUUAGAUUAGUAAUGCUAAUAGUUAUUUUUCUUUGCUCUGUGACUGACAACUAUGUCUUUUGUGUUUUUAACAAUUACAUUGGUGAGUAGAAUGUGUCAAUUCACUUCUGAAGAGCAAACAGAAUCCUGCAAUUUCCUUGAUUCCUUUCCUCACAUCUUAAUUCAGAAGGCAGGAGAAGGAAAUAUAAGUGGGAUGUAAGUAAAGGAAAGUAAGUAUUUCAAUUAGGAUACUAAUUUGUAACCAUGAAAAUCACUUCUGCCACUUACAUUAAAUCUAUUGAAUGAUACAGAAGACUGACAUAGAUUUGUAUCAAUAAUAUAAAUCUUUUAUUAAAAAACUGAUAUGUUUGAAGCUAUAGUAUAUGAAGUUAUAUUCAAAUAUUUCAAGGAAAAAGACACUAUGGUAACUACUAUUAAACCGGGUUAUUUGGUGGUGAAACACUAGGUUGCUGAAACUGUCAUGCUUUGACCUGUACUGUUAUGAUGUUAUGUCCUCUUUUAUCUCAAUCUCUUCCUUAUUCAUUAAAAAAAUAUUUAGUUACUUUUUAUGAUUUUUUAAUUAAGGGAAAAAAUCAAAAAAAUUAGCAGGAUAUAUUAUAGUAACUUAUUUGAUUUCCUAUUAACUUGAUUUGAAGUCCUGUAAUACUCCCACUAUCUUGUUUUGACUGAUUAGACUCUGUUCCAUAUGAUAGUAUCAAUUUUGAAGGUAUAGGCAACUACUUUGAAGGCAAUAAGAUUCACUAUGAUGCCCAUUCUGGUUUGACUAUUAUCUUCUUUGGAAGUCCUGCAGUGUUUACAAGGUUUAGGUUUUAUUGGUCUUGUUCUCUACUGUUUCGUUCAACUUUGUAAUACCUAAUGAGAUAGACAAUUCUUUUUAAGGAAGCAAGAGGCAUUAUGGUAACCAUUGUCGAUAACCUUGUACUGUUUUUACAUCAUGUGCUAUGUCUAUCCUUGGUUUUGACUGACAGCUUUGUUUUGUCAUAUUUGACUUUAUUCUCUUCCAAAAAAAAAGUAAUAAGAACUAAGGAAUAAUAAAACUCAAAAUGUGUAAAUUUUGUUGUAAAAAAGAGAGGGAAAAAAUGCUCUAAAGUAUACAACUGCAAGUGUGUUUAGGGGUGUUAAAUAGAUGCCCAUAUUAAUGAUUUUGGUUGGAUCAUUGAACACAACUGUUUGCAGUCUCACUGUUUGAAUGUCCACUUUGAAUGCUUUGAUACUGUGACCUGAGCAACUGUUUCUAGGAUGAUAAUUGUAAUCUAUUAACUGGUGAUUUCUUACUGUUUUUUUUUUUUUUUUGUAGUUCUGUAUUAAUUGUACCCUUACACUACUUUGUUUUGUUUUGUUUUGUUUUUUCUCUUUUUCCUUUUAAAUAAAAUUUUUUUAAAAAACUGUCAA